rnacentral:lncRNA from 1 species
AGUGCGGACCUUUCUUCAGCCUCUGUGCGACCGAGCCGCGCGCCAGGCUCCUGUGCGAGGAGGACGCGCUGACUCCCUCCGACCUGGGCUCCGAUGGAGCAGAAAUAGCGGGACCUGGACUUGUGGCGCGCCUGGUGCCACAUCUCGGGCUCUGCGAGCGUCCUGGCGCGGGAUCCUGCCGUUUGCAUCCAAGAGAGGGGAGGACAGGGGCAAAAGGAUGCAGGGAGGCUGCUGAUUUCCACUGAAGAGCUAAUUUCCUGUGAGACAUUAACAGUGAUUUAAGAAAAAGAUUCCUGUAACUGGCAGGAGAAUCGCUUGAACCCAGGAGGCAGAGGUUGCAGUGAGCCGAGAUCACACCACUGCACUCCAGCCUGUAAUGUCUUACAAUAACAGAAUGCAGGAGAGCACAUAUCAAUGAAGAAAAGACAAAAUGUACUUAUCCAUGAAGCUGAGGUUAAGAAACCAGUGUCUUCAAGAGCCAGGGACAGCACUGGGUCUGUGCAGAGUUGAGAGAUGGUGAUGACAUGUGACAGAGCUCCUUGCUGCUCAAAUUUUAUGCCAGAUAAAAUAUUCACCUUCUCGGACUCCCUGGCACCAGGCAUGGCCAUGUAAUCCUACAGCACAGCUGAUGAAAGAGAAGACAUCUUGCUGCUAUUUGACAAGCAAGAAGAUAAAAGCUUUCCUAUAAAGAUGAUGGAGCAAAAAAAUAGAAGGGGCCUAGACUCCCUACCUUCACACUUCCUGCUAUAAAAGCAUUGCUAUUAUAAGGUUAAUCUGCAGAAACAGACUUCUAUGUCAUAUGCUUAAAUGCAUCAAAAUUCAUACAAUAUCCAUUAAAUUGGUAAAAGUAUCCAUUUUAAAGGAUUAAUCUGAGGGACCCACAGACACUUAACACAAUCAAAUCUCAGAAAAAAAAUCAGUUAUUUCAUUGUGAUUUUGAGGCUGAUCUUUUAUGAUCUUUUAGUUAUCAAACUGUUAAAUACAUUUUAACUUUCAAAUUUUAUGAAUAAAGGAGAUGAAUCCUGUUA